AAGGAUUUAAGUUAAAUAAACUAUUAACCUUCAAAGUUAAAAAUAUAUUUUUAAAUAAAAUAAACCUUA
rnacentral:tRNA from 1 species